CAACCUGCCCUUCAGAGGGGGACAACAGUUGGAAACGACUGCUAAUACCGCAUACGAUCCAAUCUCGGCAUCGAGACUGGAUGAAAGGUGGCCUCUAUUUAUAAGCUAUCACUGAAGGAGGGGAUUGCGUCUGAUUAGCUAGUUGGAGGGGUAACGGCCCACCAAGGCGAUGAUCGGUAGCCGGACUGAGAGGUUGAACGGCCACAUUGGGACUGAGACACGGCCCAG
rnacentral:rRNA from 1 species